AUGAACGCUGGCGGCGUGCCUAAUACAUGCAAGUCGAGCGAACAGACGAGGAGCUUGCUCCUCUGACGUUAGCGGCGGACGGGUGAGUAACACGUGGAUAACCUACCUAUAAGACUGGGAUAACUUCGGGAAACCGGAGCUAAUACCGGAUAAUAUAUUGAACCGCAUGGUUCAAUAGUGAAAGACGGUUUUGCUGUCACUUAUAGAUGGAUCCGCGCCGCAUUAGCUAGUUGGUAAGGUAACGGCUUACCAAGGCGACGAUGCGUAGCCGACCUGAGAGGGUGAUCGGCCACACUGGAACUGAGACACGGUCCAGACUCCUACGGGAGGCAGCAGUAGGGAAUCUUCCGCAAUGGGCGAAAGCCUGACGGAGCAACGCCGCGUGAGUGAUGAAGGUCUUCGGAUCGUAAAACUCUGUUAUUAGGGAAGAACAAAUGUGUAAGUAACGAUGCACGUCUUGACGGUACCUAAUCAGAAAGCCACGGCUAACUACGU
rnacentral:rRNA from 1 species